GACGAACCGUGCAAACGUUGUUCGGAAUCACUGGGCUUAAAGGGCGCGUAGGCGGGCUCGCAAGUCAGGGGUGAAAGCCUCCAGCUCAACUGGAGAAGUGCCUUUGAUACUGCGGGUCUCGAGGGAGGUAGGGGCGUGCGGAACUUCCGGUGGAGCGGUGAAAUGCGUAGAGAUCGGGAGGAACACCUGUGGCGAAGGCGGCCGACUGGGCCGACCCUGACGCUGAGGCGCGAAGGCGUGGGGAGCGAACGGG
rnacentral:rRNA from 1 species